ensembl:lncRNA
CAGGCCUGGAGGCCUCAGAGGAACCUGUGGGAUCAUGGAGCUGGAGGCCGACCAGGUGCAGUCUGAGCCCGCCCUCUGCAGAUAAAUGCUUAUCUACUAUUUCCUUUUUUGUUCUUUUUUUUUCCCCCAACUUGAAACAUGUUCUACAUGUGAUGCAUGCUUAUCAUGGGAAAUGUAGAAAAUAGAGGGGGGACAAAAUAGAAGUGUUAAAGUCAGAACUUGUUUGGCUGUGUCAGGAAUCUAUCUCAAGCUGGUGGAGGUGAUUCAAGAGAAAAUAUCAGUCCCUAUGACAGGAAUGUUCCAGGCAUGAAUCAGUCAGGGCUCACACAACACUGAAAGGAUGCCAUCUUGCUCUCUCACACCAUUCAUUUCUUCAAUAGACCUUUUCCAGGCAGCAGAGGUCUAAAAGUAAAACACAAUUAACCCCAGACUAAUUCCCAUCGUGCUACUAGAAAGGUAGAGUGUCAGGGAUGGAUGCAAUCAGUGGGACGUGUACACAUGUGCAUCCCUGAGCCAAUCCUGUGGCUACAGUAAAAGGUCUGAUUGGGCAGGUUAGUGAGCCAAUGGCCCAAGGAGGUGGAAUCAAGGCAAGUCUCCCUGGAAAUACAAGGAACAGGCUUCCCACAGGAAGGAGGGUUUCUGUUCUAGAAGGAAGAGGAGAAGGUGAUGAGAUGAUGGAAACACUGGGAAUCACUGUGAGAAGCCUAGCAGAAGCUACACCUGGACUCCGGCCGCCAAACAGGUGGAACUGGCUUUUGGAUUUUUCUACCCAGUUACCCCUUGUGGUGAGUGAAGCGCUUGGGGGUCAUUCCUCCUCAACCUUGUGACCUUGGGCUAGGUCCCUGAUCUAUCAGACCCUCAGUUUUUUAAUCCGUGGAGAGAUAACCACGGCAAAAUAUAUAGCCCGAGUGAUUUCAGUGGGGAGGGUUAAAUGAGA